AGUGAACGCUGGCGGCAGGCCUAAUACAUGCAAGUCGAACGGCAGCACAGUGGAGCUUGCUCCAUGGGUGGCGAGUGGCGGACGGGUGAGGAAUACAUGGGAAUCUGCCCAGUCGUGGGGGAUAACGUAGGGAAACUUACGCUAAUACCGCAUGCGCCCUUCGGGGGAAAGCCGGGGACCUUCGGGCCUGGCGCGAUUGGAUGAGCCCAUGUUCGAUUAGCUAGUUGGCGGGGUAAAGGCCCACCAAGGCGACGAUCGAUAGCUGGUCUGAGAGGAUGAUCAGCCACACUGGGACUGAGACACGGCCCAGACUCCUACGGGAGGUAGCAGUAGGGAAUAUUGGACAAUGGGCGCAAGCCUGAUCCAGCCAUGCCGCGUGAGUGAAGAAGGCCCUUGGGUUGUAAAGCUCUUUUGUCCGGGAAGAAAAGCAUCGGGCUAAUACCUCGGUGUUCUGACGGUACCGGAAGAAUAAGCACCGGCUAACUUCGUG
rnacentral:rRNA from 1 species